GAGAUGCCACAUUCACUGAAUCUCAGAUGCUGUCGAGUUCAAGACUUAUCACUAGGUUAUUAACCCUGAAGAAAAGAAAAAAUCUAAUCAACAGUAAACAGCAUUCACUAAUCUGAAAUUUACACCCCACUGCUGUUCCCUUAUCUUUCUGCAUACACAAAAAAUGUUAAUUUUCAAUACCGAUCUAUGCCACAGUCUUUUCAAAGACAUUUUUUUAAAAGACAGUCAAGCUCAGUACACACGGAGUCCUACAACUGCACACAGCUCAUUCCAAGUAUGCCCAACACGGGCAGACAACUAUGCCACUGCUGCCAUCUGGCUGACAAUGACUGUGAUAAGCAUCCUGAUUUAGAAAUGUUGAAAUAACUGCAUCUGAGCAUCAAAGAAAGCAUCCCCACUUUGUAGACACAGAGACUGGCACAGCCAGAUUUACUGAUUUGCCCCAAAACUUCCCAGAUAGCAAGUGGCUUACCCAGACUUUCAACUGGAGUGGUCCGGCCUCAGAGCUGAGAAACAUUCAACUCUCUGCAUCUUCAGUGAUCUCUCCGUUUCUGCUGGUGGAGACCUCAUUCACAGGUCUCAGUUGUGGUACUCUGGACCUCUGAUCUCUGAUCUCUGUUGUGGCAUGUGCGAUC
ensembl:lncRNA